UACGGAGGGUGCAAGCGUUGUCCGGAUUUAUUGGGUUUAAAGGGUGCGUAGGCGGGAGAUUAAGUCAGAGGUGAAAGACUGCAGCUCAACUGUAGCAGUGCCUUUGAUACUGAUUUUCUUGAGUACAGAUGAGGCUGGCGGAAUGGGUGGUGUAGCGGUGAAAUGCAUAGAUACCAUCCAGAACACCGAUUGCGAAGGCAGCCGGCUAAACUGUCACUGACGCUGAGGCACGAAAGCGUGGGGAGCGAACAGG
rnacentral:rRNA from 1 species